AUAAAUAACAAUAUUAUGAUUUGUUGUUUAAAUCAGCCUUUGCAUUUGCAUCACAUUUAAUUAAUGAUUUGUGCUAUUAACUUUACAGAAUUUCCACUUUGUUGCGGCAGUUGUUUGCUUGCUCCUGUGUUUCACUUUACUCUCAGUGUGUGAAUUUUGACUUCGUUGCGGUGGUUAUUUGCUCCCGUGUUUCACUUGUCUCUCGGCGAGUGAUAUAUUGCAACAUGGCGGAAAGAUAUACCAUCAAUAUGAUCACUCCAGAUACUAAAAAUUGGACAUGUGUAAUGAUCUGUUUAGUCGUUUUUGAGCAGUAGAGUUUAUUCUGGUAAUAACUGUCUGGGUCGACGGAUCCCACGACGGACCA